GUGACUGCAGGGAGACAGAGAAGGACACAGAGACAGGCAUGAGACUCGAGGCGGACCCCACACAGGCUGCGCAAAGUCUGUGUGCCUCCCCACCCUGGCCCCGGCCUUGCAUUUCUUGCAUCAGAACACAAGUAUUCCCAGAAAGCACUUCUGGAGGUUGGGUUCGUAGUACUACUCAGCGCCCAUCAGCACUCACUUCUUGCCCCAUAGCCUUGGGAUGCAUGGGUCUUGGACCAGCCGACCAUACAAAAAUUCCACUCACUGUUCACCCAUGCACUGCAACGAUGUUUUUACCUCGAGCUCUAUGUAGCUAACCCACCAGGAAACACACCGGUGUGUCUAUUUCUCGUGACCAUGAGCUCACAUGAAGUGUGCCUUUCAUUUACUCAAGAUAGACUCAUGCCACACUUGGCAAAAAGGAGAGAAGGUUAAAGUGUUCUAUCACUUGCUAAUUCUCUCGAUGAGUACAUGCCCUGGAGACCCAACGUGGAGCCACACUGCCUGCAGGUCUCUACGUUCUACGCUUCCAGCUGUGCAAGUCCUCGCCACUGUCCACGGUCCAGCCCUUCAGCUUCUUCCUCUAUAGACCUCCUCCACCCUUCCAGAGCCCCGAGCCCCUGUUUUAGAGGUUGCCUGAUUCUGCUCUUCAUAAGCCAUGGCCACCACAGCCAAGAUCAAGUUCACGAGAUAGAAAGAACCCACAAAGAUGACCAAGACGAAGAAGAUCAUGUACGUUUUCCCAGCUGCUCGUAA